rnacentral:rRNA from 1 species
AGUGAACGCUGGCGGUAGGCCUAACACAUGCAAGUCGAACGGCAGCACAGUAAGGGCUUGCUCUUACGGGUGGCGAGUGGCGGACGGGUGAGGAAUACAUCGGAAUCUACUUUUUCGUGGGGGAUAACGUAGGGAAACUUACGCUAAUACCGCAUACGACCUACGGGCGAAAGCAGGGGAUCUUCGGACCUUGCGCGAUUGAAUGAGCUGAUGUCGGAUUAGCUAGUUGGCGGGGUAAAGGCCCACCAAGGCGACGAUCCGUAGCUGGUCUGAGAGGAUGAUCAGCCACACUGGAACUGAGACACGGUCCAGACUCCUACGGGAGGCAGCAGUGGGGAAUAUUGGACAAUGGGCGCAAGCCUGAUCCAGCCAUACCGCGUGGGUGAAGAAGGCCUUCGGGUUGUAAAGCCCUUUUGUUGGGAAAGAAAAGCAGCAGGUUAAUACCCCGCUGUUCUGACGGUACCCAAAGAAUAAGCACCGGCUAACUUCGUG